AGAGUUUGAUCCUGGCUCAGGAUGAACGCUAGCUACAGGCUUAACACAUGCAAGUCGAGGGGCAGCAUGAACUUAGCUUGCUAAGUUUGAUGGCGACCGGCGCACGGGUGAGUAACACGUAUCCAACCUGCCGAUGACUCGGGGAUAGCCUUUCGAAAGAAAGAUUAAUACCCGAUGGCAUAGUUCUUCCGCAUGGUAGAACUAUUAAAGAAUUUCGGUCAUCGAUGGGGAUGCGUUCCAUUAGGUUGUUGGCGGGGUAACGGCCCACCAAGCCUUCGAUGGAUAGGGGUUCUGAGAGGAAGGUCCCCCACAUUGGAACUGAGACACGGUCCAAACUCCUACGGGAGGCAGCAGUGAGGAAUAUUGGUCAAUGGACGAGAGUCUGAACCAGCCAAGUAGCGUGAAGGAUGACUGCCCUAUGGGUUGUAAACUUCUUUUAUACGGGAAUAAAGUGAGGCACGCGUGCCUUUUUGUAUGUACCGUAUGAAUAAGGAUCGGCUAACUCCGUGCCAGCAGCCGCGGUAAUACGGAGGAUCCGAGCGUUAUCCGGAUUUAUUGGGUUUAAAGGGAGCGUAGGCGGACGCUUAAGUCAGUUGUGAAAGUUUGCGGCUCAACCGUAAAAUUGCAGUUGAUACUGGGUGUCUUGAGUACAGUAGAGGCAGGCGGAAUUCGUGGUGUAGCGGUGAAAUGCUUAGAUAUCACGAAGAACUCCGAUUGCGAAGGCAGCCUGCUGGACUGUAACUGACGCUGAUGCUCGAAAGUGUGGGUAUCAAACAGGAUUAGAUACCCUGGUAGUCCACACAGUAAACGAUGAAUACUCGCUGUUUGCGAUAUACAGUAAGCGGCCAAGCGAAAGCAUUAAGUAUUCCACCUGGGGAGUACGCCGGCAACGGUGAAACUCAAAGGAAUUGACGGGGGCCCGCACAAGCGGAGGAACAUGUGGUUUAA
rnacentral:rRNA from 1 species